rnacentral:rRNA from 1 species
AGUGAACGCUGGCGGUAGGCCUAACACAUGCAAGUCGAACGGCAGCACAGUAAGAGCUUGCUCUUACGGGUGGCGAGUGGCGGACGGGUGAGGAAUACAUCGGAAUCUACUUUUUCGUGGGGGAUAACGUAGGGAAACUUACGCUAAUACAGCAUACGACAUACGGGUGAAAGCAGGGGAUCUUCGGACCUUGCGCGAUUGAAUGAGCCGAUGUCGGAUUAGCUAGUUGGCGGGGUAAAGGCCCACCAAGGCGACGAUCCGUAGCUGGUCUGAGAGGAUGAUCAGCCACACUGGAACUGGGACACGGUCCAGACUCCUACGGGAGGCAGCAGUGGGGAAUAUUGGACAAUGGGCGCAAGCCUGAUCCAGCCAUACCGCGUGGGUGAAGAAGGCCUUCGGGUUGUAAAGCCCUUUUGUUGGGAAAGAAAAGCAGCAGGUUAAUACCCCGCUGUUCUGACGGUACCCAAAGAAUAAGCACCGGCUAACUUCGUG